UUUGUUGUGUAGUAUCAAGACUAAGAAACAAACUAAAUUUAAAAGCGGAGAAUGAAGAGAAAUCAAGAGACGUAUGAGAGUGAGAGAAACGUUUGAAGUUGGUUGCCCUUUAUAUAGGGGAUUUUAAAGCUGCUUUUGUUGUAGAUUUUAAAGGUGUUUUUGUUGUGGUAGCCCUUUAUAUAGGAAAUUUUAAAGCUGCUUUUGUUGUAGAUUUUAAAGUUGUUUUUGUUGUGGUAGCCCUUUAGGUGUUUUUGUUGUGGUAGCCCUUUAUAUAGGAAAUUUUAAAGCUGCUUUUGUUGUAGAUUUUAUAGGUGUUUUUGUUGUGGUAGUCCUUUAUAUAGGAGAUUUUAAAGGUGCUUUUGUUGUAGAUUUUAUAGGUGCUUUUGUUGUGGUAGUCCUUUAUAUAGGAGAUUUUAAAGGUGCUUUUGUUGUAGAUUUUAAAGGUGCUUUUGUUGCAGUAGCUCUUUAUAUAGGAGAUUUUAAAGGUGCUUUUGUUGUGUAGUAUUAGGACUAAUAACAAAUUCUAAUAUUAUAUUAUUUAAUUCAUAUUUAUUAAUAUUUUACAUUAUUUAAUAAAUAUUUAGUAAUAUUUUAUUAUUACUUCUGUCUAUUUUCUCAUUCUAGAAACCUCCUUCCAUUCCCAAUUGUGUUCCGUUCAUCCCCUCUUUCUUCCUUAAAAUAUGAGGAAUUGGAUUGAUGAGGAAUUGAAUUGAGGAGGAAUCAUAAUCGAAUUCUUGUUGAAACUGUUUACUUAAAUGUUCAGGAAUCGGAAUAGGAAUGAAACUGAAUUCAUAGAAGUUGUUUACUAAAUCAACUGAAACGGAAUAAAAAUCAAUAUGAUUACUAAAAUGCUCCUUUCUAAAAUUUUAUUCUAUUUUUAUUCUUAAAAACAUUUAAACUAGUUAUUUUUACUUAGUUAAACUAAAGAUUUUUUUUUCUUUUCCUAAAGAGUUAGAGUCCACUAUUGUGCAAAAGCCAAAGUAAGAGCCCAAGAAAAAACCUAGAAACUAGACCUUGAGGUUGCGAUCGCCAAAGUGAUGUUGCAUGAGGAUGAGCAGGUGAGCAAGAAGCACGUCCGCAAGAUACUGACGUUGACUUUAUCAUCCCAGAGCUACGUCCACGCGUGCGUGUCGGCGGUGUCAAAGCGGCUGGUCCAUCGUGUCAUGCCCCAAUCCCGACAUACGUCCAAGAUCGACACGUGACAUCACCAAAUACCCGUAUAUCUAACUUACCCCGCCUUCGGGAUAUGGCAAAGCACAACUCAAGAAUCGAAUCGCAUAGUAAUUUCUCGUACAUUUUAUGGCUGCAUCUAACUUCUUCUAUACCAGCACUAAGCUUACCAACCAAUAUAAUUUAAAUACAGUCAUAAUCAAUUACCAUAUGCAUACCCCUUUCAAAUUCUAUAUCAAAACAUAGAGCCAAUAGUACGUUUAAAAGCAAUAAUUUAACUAUGGUUUGAUAAUAAUUAGUUGGACUAAUUGUAGCAAAUAAAAUAGCUUGUUUUCUUCAAAACCAAUCCGAUUGGAUUGUAAAGAUUGAGUGAGGAAGAUAUGCAUGUACUUUGAUACACAUGUAGAGAAAACCACAUGCAUAUAUUUUCUCUAAAUAGGUAAUUACGUGUUCAGUAUACAAUCGUUUGGAAAACAACCAACUUCCCAAAGUGGACUAGUCGAAAUACUUUGCCGAGGGUAGUAAUACAACAACAUAGCUUUAUGCAUAAUACAAGUCUUCAGAAAAAGGGCAAUUAAACAAAACAUCCCUUUCGGCUUUUAUACCAUUGUAGGGUUUAGGCAUUUGCAUAUAUAUAAUACUAUUUUUACAAACAAUAGCUAAUCCACGACAGAUUAACCGAAAGAAAUAUUAAUAAGAAUUAGCUAAAUGGAAAGGAUAAAGAGAGUCGAGAAUAUGAACCCAUAUUGCAGGUUGACAUCCCCAGUGAGAGGGAUAUGAAUAUCUUCAACUCCCUUCUCUCUGCUCCUAAUUAAUUCCGACUCCCUUCCUUCCAUUUGUCCUUUCUUCUCUUUAUUUUUGGGUCGACUAAUGGGGAGAAACCAAUAAGCUCGUAAGGCUGCUCGUCAGGACUAUCUGCACAUCCUCUCCCAAUUCUUUCCUCUUCCGCGCAUCAGUUUUUUUUAAUAUUAAAUUAGGUCUUUUUCAUUAAAUUUAAAAUUUUUGUCUUUUUUAUUAAAAUUUAAGAGUUUUUCAUUAAAAUUUAAGUUUUUUUUAUUAAUUAAAGUUAUAUCAUGGUUUUUUUAUUAAGAUAAACUUAGUCCAAGUCUUUUUCAUGAAAGUUCCCUUAAAAUUCUGGUAUGUUUUAUGUUUGUCACAAGUGAAUUUUUGCGGCUAUAAAGUUGAGCUUUUCGAAUAGUCGUGAUUUCAUUGUCAUUAUUAUUUUCUUAUAAAUAAAUAAAUAUAUAUAUGUGUAUGUAUGCAUCUUUUCUAGUACGCGACUUGUGCAUUAUUUUGGGCACAUGAUUUGUGGUUGGCAUAUUAUAUCAUUCAUAGUGUAUAACCGAAAACAUGUGAAAGCUAUUGUAUUUAUACCUUGUAUGGAACGAUAUAAAUUGUUUGGUGAAGCCUUGUCAACAAGAAUGCAUUCUAUUUCGCUAUGAUAGUGGAACUCAUCUCACUUGAUAAUAAUUCACAAGAUUUGGUCUGGAAGUUUCGUUUCUCGUUUGCUUCCGCUGCUUUUAAUGAAAAUUUGGUGUUUAAUUGGUAUGUAUCCUUUAAUUCACAUCUGAUGCGAUCUCAAAGUUCCUAAGAUACUAAUUUUGUAAUUUUGACAAAGUAUGGGUUUUCUAUUGAAUGGAAUUGUUUGAGAUUUUGAAGCGCCAUUUAGUAUUUUUUUCAAUUUAUUUCUGGACUAGAUUGAAUUAUGAUACAUGUCGAUCUCGUUAAAGAAUUAUUAUAUGUAAAUCAUAUUGUUAAAAAGUUGAGAUCUUUAUUAUCUCGUUGUAAUUGAGAUGACUUGUGCUUUUAUGUUCAGACAUUAUCAAAUUUUAGUUGAUCUUGCUUGAUGGAUAUUGAAUUAGUUUGGAUAAAAUUGAAUGCAAAAAUGUUGUGCUUGCUAUUCUGAUUUUGACCAUUGUUGAAACUAGUGAUUUUGGGUUUAUGUGAGAUAAGUUUUUCCGAAUGGAUUGAGACUGUCUUUUGAUACGUAGACUGUUUGCAUAAUGGUUUAGGUGUACAUGAUUAAACUGAGAUUAUGCAAUUGGUGAGGAAUCGGGAACCAAGGCUCAGAUCUCCGGUUUCUUUAUUGGCUGUGUAGUACUUUCUACUCAUGCUUAAGUGGGAGAAGUUGAAGUUAUUUUUAGGCCGGCCAUUAAAUUCAUUUGGAUGCUUUUGAUAAGUGGGAGUAGUUGAAGUUAUUAUUGAGAGCCUAUCACACUUCUUGAAGAUAGCUGUGGAAUAAGGUUUUCAUCCAGAUAAAUCUGUAAUUAGUUGUUCAAAGAAAACAUUUUGAUAAUUCAAUAUAAGCUCUUAAGUCAAUAUUUUCGAAUUUUGAUAAAGCUAUUGGAUGAAUUAUAUUUAGUUAUUCAUAUUGGUUAAAGAAUAAGUAUGAACUUUGUUGUAUUUUGGCAAUAUGAGUGUGAGUAAACUUUUAGUUUGGUCAUGAGCUGUGUCACAUUGCUGCGAACAUGAAUUGAACUUUGUGAUUUAUAAGAUGAUUCUGCAAAUUGUAUUGCAGAGAAGAUUGUGAAUUCAUUGUUUUGAUACAUGAAAGCAGUGUUGUGUUUAUAUUGAGGAACA